GACGAACGCUGGCGGCGUGCUUAACACAUGCAAGUCGAACGGUGAACCCGCUUCGGUGGGGGAUCAGUGGCGAACGGGUGAAUAACACGUGGGCAACCUGCCCCUAGCUCUGGGAUAACUCCUCGAAAGAGGUGCUAAUACCGGAUAUCACCUCCCUGGACAUCCAGGGUGGUUGAAAGUUUUUCGGCUAGGGAUGGGCCCGCGGCCUAUCAGCUUGUUGGUGGGGUAAUGGCCUACCAAGGCGACGACGGGUAGCCGGCCUGAGAGGGCGACCGGCCACACUGGGACUGAGACACGGCCCAGACUCCUACGGGAGGCAGCAGUGGGGAAUAUUGCGCAAUGGGCGAAAGCCUGACGCAGCAACGCCGCGUGAGGGAUGACGGCCUUCGGGUUGUAAACCUCUUUCAGCAGGGACGAAGCGAAAGUGACUGUACCUGCAAAAGAAGCGCCGGCUAACUACGUGCCAGCCGCCGCCGUAAGAC
rnacentral:rRNA from 1 species